GGGGCUGGGGCUCAGUGGUAGAGCACUCGCCUCGCACGUGUGAGACCCUGGGCUCAAUUCUCAGCACCA
rnacentral:tRNA from 1 species